GGCCUGGUGGUGUAAUGGUUAACACGCCUGCUUGUGUUUCCUGGAAUCCCCACCUUCAGUAGGAGGUUCCUUGUUCGAAUCAAGGCCAGGCCG